rnacentral:tRNA from 2 species
GGAAGGAUGGCCGAGUGGUUGAAGGCGCUGGUCUCGAAAACCAGUGAAGUGGCAACGCUUCCGAGAGUUCGAAUCUCUCUCCUUCCGCCA